rnacentral:rRNA from 1 species
UACAGAGGGUGCAAGCGUUAAUCGGAAUUACUGGGCGUAAAGAGUGCGUAGGUGGUUAGGUAAGUUAGAUGUGAAAUCCCUGGGCUCAACCUAGGAACUGCGUUUAAAACUGCUUAGCUAGAGUAUUGUAGAGGAUAGUGGAAUUUCCAGUGUAGCGGUGAAAUGCGUAGAUAUUGGAAGGAACACCAGUGGCGAAGGCGACUAUCUGGGCAAAUACUGACACUGAGGCACGAGAGCAUGGGGAGCAAACAGG